rnacentral:rRNA from 1 species
UACGUAGGGGGCUAGCGUUGUCCGGAAUCAUUGGGCGUAAAGCGCGUGUAGGCGGUCCGGUAAGUCCGCUGUGAAAGUCGGGGGCUCAACCCUCGAAUGCCGGUGGAUACUGUCGGGCUAGAGUGCGGAAGAGGCGAGUGGAAUUCCUGGUGUAGCGGUGAAAUGCGCAGAUAUCAGGAGGAACACCAAUUGCGAAGGCGGCUCUCUGGGACGGUACUGACGCUGAGACGCGAAAGCGUGGGGAGCGAACAGG